GAUGAACGCUGGCGGCGUGCCUAAUACAUGCAAGUCGAGCGAAUGGAUUAAGAGCUUGCUCUUAUGAAGUUAGCGGCGGACGGGUGAGUAACACGUGGGUAACCUGCCCAUAAGACUGGGAUAACUCCGGGAAACCGGGGCUAAUACCGGAUAACAUUUUGAACCGCAUGGGUCGAAAUUGAAAGGCGGCUUCGGCUGUCACUAAUGGAUGGACCCGCGUCGCAUUAGCUAGGUGGUGAGGUAACGGCUCACCAAGGCAACGAUGCGUAGCCGACCUGAGAGGGUGAUCGGCCACACUGGGACUGAGACACGGCCCAGACUCCUACGGGAGGCAGCAGUAGGGAAUCUUCCGCAAUGGACGAAAGUCUGACGGAGCAACGCCGCGUGAGUGAUGAAGGCUUUCGGGUUGUAAAACUCUGUUGUUAGGGAAGAACAAGUGCUAGUUGAAUAAGCUGGCACCUUGACGGUACCUAACCAGAAAGCCACGGCUAACUACGUGCCAGCCGCCGCUGUAA
rnacentral:rRNA from 1 species